rfam:Paenibacillus naphthalenovorans strain 32O-Y, complete genome.
GUCGCCGCGAGGCGGAAUCUGAAGGAAGCCGGAGGCUACAAUCAGAGUAGGGUCUCGGAGAAAGCUGUAGUC